GAUGAACGCUGGCGGCGUGCCUAAUACAUGCAAGUCGAGCGAACAGACGAGAGUGCUUGCACUCUCUGACGUUAGCGGCGGACGGGUGAGUAACACGUGGGAAACCUACCUAUAAGACUGGGAUAACUUCGGGAAACCGGAGCUAAUACCGGAUAAUAUUUAGCUUCGCAUGAAGCAAUAGUGAAAGACGGUUCUGCUGUCACUUAUAGAUGGACCCGCGGUGUAUUAGCUAGUUGGUGAGGUAACGGCUCACCAAGGCAACGAUACAUAGCCGACCUGAGAGGGUGAUCGGCCACACUGGGACUGAGACACGGCCCAGACUCCUACGGGAGGCAGCAGUAGGGAAUCUUCCGCAAUGGACGAAAGUCUGACGGAGCAAUGCCGCGUGAGUGAAGAAGGUUUUCGGAUCGUAAAACUCUGUUGUAAGGGAAGAACAAGUACGUUAGUAACUGAACGUACCUUGACGGUACCUUACCAGAAAGCCACGGCUAACUACGUG
rnacentral:rRNA from 1 species